rnacentral:rRNA from 1 species
GGCCCCCUACGGGACGCAGCAGUCGGGAAUAUUGCGCAAUGGAGGAAACUCUGACGCAGUGACGCCGCGUAUAGGAAGAAGGUUUUCGGAUUGUAAACUAUUGUCGUGAGGGAAGAAAUUGACAGUACCUCAGGAGGAAGCUCCGGCUAACUAUGUGCCAGCAGCCGCGGUAAUACAUAGGGGGCAAGCGUUAUCCGGAUUUACUGGGUGUAAAGGGAGCGUAGGCGGUUUAGCAAGUCAGAAGUGAAAGCCCGGGGCUCAACUCCGGGACUGCUUUUGUAACUGUUGAACUAGAUUGCAGGAGG